AUACUUUAUUCAAUUCGGAUA
rnacentral:misc_RNA from 1 species